UACGUAGGGAGCAAGCGUUGUUCGGAUUUACUGGGCGUAAAGGGCGCGUAGGCGGCGCGGUAAGUCACUUGUGAAAUCUCCGGGCUUAACUCGGAACGGCCAAGUGAAACUGUCAAGCUAGAGUGCAGAAGGGGCAAUCGGAAUUCUUGGUGUAGCGGUGAAAUGCGUAGAUAUCAAGAGGAACACCUGAGGUGAAGACGGGUUGCUGGGCUGACACUGACGCUGAGGCGCGAAAGCCAGGGGAGCAAACGGG
rnacentral:rRNA from 1 species